GUUGUUGUCACUGAGGAGUCAAACUCUGCUUUAAAUCAUGAGACACUGGCCUAGUGGACAAGUGUCAAGAAUAAAGAGGGAAUGAUACCUGAGUGUUGAGAUGUAACAAGAGCUGAUCCUUUUUGCAGUGGGAUGUAGACUGGAAACCGCACAGAACUGAGCCAAGGGAUUGAAAGGGACCAACCAAAGGAGGUGAAGAAAGAAGGAAGAAGGGAAGUGAGGCAGUAGACAAGCAGCACCAAGUUGCUGUGUAAGCAGGGAAUAACUCCUGUCAGCAGCAAGGUCCUGACUGAAGUGGCAGCUGCAGUUGUUCCUGUGGUGUGGGCCAGUGGAAUUGCAGGAGAGUGGAAGAGGGCAGAACCUGACGUGAAUGCAAGAACCUGCUAAGAAACCAAUGACCAAGAUGAUUGAUCAGUGCAGGACCUGAGAGAACCACCUUCAAUGACAACCUUAGGUUUAAAAGAUGGCUGUUGCUUUUGAAGGAGAAAAUCUGGAAAGCAGGAAGGAAGAAAAGAAGCCCCCUGACUCCUCCCUGAGCCCCAGACAGCCCAUGAACUGCCUUGCUGGGAAUGGUAGGACAGGAUGGACUCUGGAUUGCUCCCUCUGGAUGUGUGGUAAGACUUUUAUACCAGCUUUUAAGAACAGCCUGUAAGCAUUUGCUGCCUUGGCUAGAUGGUGCAAGGGCAGCUUUUAAGCAGCUGAAGCAUUCCCUGAGGAGAGCUCUGGGUCUGCUAGAUGUCUCAGAACUGUUUGGAAGCAUCUUUGGUGGGGAGGGCAAACAAAGGACAAGGUGUGCAGUGACCCCCCUGAGAAGGGACUUGGAGUUAAUGGCAUCCCUGCAAGUGAACUUUGUGGGCUGUUCCCCCUGUAGGGCAGGUGAUAGUCCCAGCUACAGUGAUGGGAAAAAUGGUUAAAAGAGAGCCCAAA